AAACUCUCCCAGACCUGUUAUCUUGUCCUUCACAGAGGCAUGUAGGCUUCCCUUAUCACUACCGCUUCAGACUGCCUUGAGCUGUUAGCUGACUGUUACACAUUUUGUUUUGCAGCUACUUAGGUCGGUUAAAGUUCAUCAUGGAGGACCCUUGGUUCACUUAGGCCUAGAGCAGGGGGGCUUCAUCGACACUCGUGGUCUUCCACCCCCCCAAGUUACCUAGAGUUAUGCCUAGUGACACCAACACCCUGAUGUCAUUUUUAUUUGUCAAGAGCUGGAAGCUACAAUUAUCCUCAAUAACCUGUUUGAAAGAAAAGCAUCCCAAGUAAAGCAUCCAAUCAGGUGACAUGAUGCUCCCCUACAUAGCCCCCUCUAUCUUCCUCAACAGUUUUUGACUACCCUUUAUGAGAAGAGGUGGUGACCUAUCAUCAUCGUGUGUUAGAGAAAGCAAAGGAUAUUGCUGGUGUGAUAGACCCAGGCCAGUUGGGUACAACAAAGUAGCUGAAGGCAGAUGUACUGACCACUGGAUUAGCAGUUUUCUGUUCCCUGACUGACCAGAGCAGGGGCUGCUCCAGACUAAUGAGAACACCUGACU